rnacentral:rRNA from 1 species
GCCCAAUUUGAGUGUUGUGUGUGGUAAAGCGAAUGAUUAGCAUACUCGGGGUCGUUUAGACUUCGGAUGAUUCUCAAACUUUAAAUGCGCACGGAUGUUGCCGCUUGGGUGGGCGGCAUCUCUAAAAACUUGGGCUUUGUGGGCCACUUUUGGUAAGCAGAACUGGCGAUACGGGAUGAACCGUAAGUGUGGUUAAGGCGUCAAAUUGUCCGCUUAUAGAUUCCAAAAAAGGUGUUGAUUCAUCGAGACAGCAGGACGGUGGCCAUGGAAGUCGGAAUCCGCUAAGGAGUGUGUAACAACUCACCUGCCGAAUGAAUUAGCCCUGAAAAUGGAUGACGCUAAAGCGGGCAGCCGACACCACACCGUUUGGGCAAAAUGAACGUCUAAAUGAGUAGGAGGAACGUGGCGGUCGUGUUGAAGCGUGCGUGCAAACGUGCGUGGAACGGCCGCUAGUGCAGAUCUUGGUGUUAGUAGCAAAUAUUCAAAUGAGAACCUUGAAGGGCGAAGCGGGGAAGGGUUCCACGCGAACAUUGAUUGAGCGUGGGUAAGUCGUUCCUAAGCCGCGUGGCAAUAGCUAAUUACCGGCGAAAGGGAAGCAGGUUGAUAUUCCUGCACACGGAUGUGGAAGCGGUGACGCAUACUUGGGACGGUGAAGCUGGCGAUGGCUCUGGGCAGAGUUUUCUUUUCUGUUUAACUAACUGUGCUUGCAGUGUGGAAUCCGCUUGUCGGGAGAAACACGCGAGUUUGGGAAUAGCGCCGGGUUUUUUUCCGGCGUCCAGAACGCCAUCGUCGGACCUUGAAAAACUGUCUGCAGGCAAUAUUUAAUUGUCUUAUGUAAUCCACGCCGUAACGUACCGUA